AGAUCAGCCUCGGUCUCGUGGGCUCGGAGAUGUGUAUAAGAGACAGGUUCAAUAGUGAAAGACGGUUUUGCUGUCACUUAUAGAUGGAUCCGCGCCGCAUUAGCUAGUUGGUAAGGUAACGGCUUACCAAGGCAACGAUGCGUAGCCGACCUGAGAGGGUGAUCGGCCACACUGGAACUGAGACACGGUCCAGACUCCUACGGGAGGCAGCAGUAGGGAAUCUUCCGCAAUGGGCGAAAGCCUGACGGAGCAACGCCGCGUGAGUGAUGAAGGUCUUCGGAUCGUAAAACUCUGUUAUUAGGGAAGAACAAAUGUGUAAGUAACUAUGCACGUCUUGACGGUACCUAAUCAGAAAGCCACGGCUAACUACGUGCCAGCAGCCGCGGUAAUACGUAGGUGGCAAGCGUUAUCCGGAAUUAUUGGGCGUAAAGCGCGCGUAGGCGGUUUUUUAAGUCUGAUGUGAAAGCCCACGGCUCAACCGUGGAGGGUCAUUGGAAACUGGAAAACUUGAGUGCAGAAGAGGAAAGUGGAAUUCCAUGUGUAGCGGUGAAAUGCGCAGAGAUAUGGAGGAACACCAGUGGCGAAGGCGACUUUCUGGUCUGUAACUGACGCUGAUGUGCGAAAGCGUGGGGAUCAAACAGGAUUAGAUACCCUGGUAGUCCACGCCGUAAACGAUGAGUGCUAAGUGUUAGGGGGUUUCCGCCCCUUAGUGCUGCAGCUAACGCAUUAAGCACUCCGCCUGGGGAGUACGACCGCAAGGUUGAAACUCAAAGGAAUUGACGGGGGCCCGCACAAGCGGUGGAGCAUGUGGUUUAAUUCGAAGCAACGCGAAGAACCUUACCAGGUCUUGACAUCCUUUGACCACUCUAGAGAUAGAGCUUUCCCUUCGGGGACAAAGUGACAGGUGGUGCAUGGUUGUCGUCAGCUCGUGUCGUGAGAUGUUGGGUUAAGUCCCGCAACGAGCGCAACCCUUAAGCUUAGUUGCCAUCAUUAAGUUGGGCACUCUAAGUUGACUGCCGGUGACAAACCGGAGGAAGGUGGGGAUGACGUCAAAUCAUCAUGCCCCUUAUGACCUGGGCUACACACGUGCUACAAUGGACGGAUCAGAGGGAAGCGAAGCCGCGAGGUGGAGCGAAACCCAGAAACCCGUUCUCAGUUCGGACUGCAGUCUGCAACUCGACUGCACGAAGUUGGAAUCGCUAGUAAUCGCGAAUCAGAAUGUCGCGGUGAAUACGUUCCCGGGCCUUGUACACACCGCCCGUCACACCAUGAGAGUUUGUAACACCCAAAGCCGGUGAGGUAACCUUCGGGAGCCAGCCGUCUAAGGUGGGACAGAUGAUUAGGGUGAAGUCGUAACAAGGUAGCCGUAGGAGAACCUGCGGCUG
rnacentral:rRNA from 1 species